UACGGAGGGGGCAAGCGUUGUUCGGAUUUACUGGGCGUAAAGGGUGUGUAGGCGGUGGCGUAAGUCUGAUGUGAAAUCUUCAUCGCUCAACGGGAAGAGGUCAUUGGAAACUACGUCACUCGAGUGUGGCAGAGGCAAGCGGAAUUCCUGGUGUAGCGGUGGAAUGUGUAGAUAUCAGGAAGAACACCUGUGGCGAAAGCGGCUUGCUGGGCCAUUACUGACGCUGAGACACGAAAGCGUGGGGAGCAAACGGG
rnacentral:misc_RNA from 1 species